rnacentral:rRNA from 1 species
AACGAACGCUGGCGGCAUGCCUAACACAUGCCAGUCGAACGAGACCUUCGGGUCUAGUGGCGCACGGGUGCGUAACGCGUGGGAACCUGCCCUUAGGCUCGGAAUAACUCCCCGAAAGGGGUGCUAAUACCGGAUAAUUUCUUCGGACCAAAGAUUUAUCGCCUUUGGAUGGGCCCGCGUUGGAUUAGCUAGUUGGUAGGGUAAAAGCCUACCAAGGCUACGAUCCAUAGCUGGUCUGAGAGGAUGAUCAGCCACACUGGGACUGAGACACGGCCCAGACUCCUACGGGAGGCAGCAGUGGGGAAUAUUGGACAAUGGGCGAAAGCCUGAUCCAGCAAGGCCGCGUGAGUGAUGAAGGCCUUAGGGUUGUAAAGCUCUUUUACCCGGGAUGAUAAUGACAGUACCGGGAGAAUAAGCGCCGGCUAACUCCGUG